rnacentral:rRNA from 1 species
GAUUAACGCUAGCGGCAGGCAUAAUACAUGCCAGUUGAACGGCAGCACAGGUAGCACUCCUGGGUGGCGAGUGGCGCACGGGUGCGUAACACGUAUGCAACCUACCCUAUACAGGCGAAUAACCUUUAGAAAUGAGGGCUAAUACGCCGUAGUAUUACAGAUGGGCAUCUAUUUGUAAUUAAAGAUUUAUCGGUAUAGGAUGGGCAUGCGUCCCAUUAGUUAGUUGGUAAGGUAACGGCCUACCAAGACGAUGAUGGGUAGGGGAUCUGAGAGGACUUACCCCCACACUGGUACUGAGACACGGACCAGACUCCUACGGGAGGCAGCAGUAAGGAAUAUUGGGCAAUGGCCGCGAGGCUGACCCAGCCAUGCCGCGUGCAGGAAGACGGCCUUAUGGGUUGUAAACUGCUUUUAUACGGGAAUAAUAGAGUGUACGCGUACAUUUAUGCAAGUAUCGUAUGAAUAAGCAUCGGCUAACUCCGUG